GGGUUGUCAUGCCAAUGGCACUGCCCGGUAGCUAAAUGCGGAAGAGAUAAGUGCUGAAAGCAUCUAAGCACGAAACUUGCCCCGAGAUGAGUUCUCCCUGAGACUUUAAGUCUCCUGAAGGAACGUUGAAGACGAUGACGUUGAUAGGCCGGGUGUGUAAGCGCAGCGAUGCGUUGAGCUAACCGGUACUAAUGAACCGUGAGGCUUAACCUUACAACGCCGAAG
rnacentral:rRNA from 1 species